CAGCAGUAGCCGCGGUAAUGCGUAGGUGGCAAGCGUUGUCCGGAAUUAUUGGGCGUAAAGGGCUCGCAGGCGGUUUCUUAAGUCUGAUGUGAAAGCCCCCGGCUCAACCGGGGAGGGUCAUUGGAAACUGGGAAACUUGAGUGCAGAAGAGGAGAGUGGAAUUCCACGUGUAGCGGUGAAAUGCGUAGAGAUGUGGAGGAACACCAGUGGCGAAGGCGACUCUCUGGUCUGUAACUGACGCUGAGGAGCGAAAGCGUGGGGAGCGAACAGGAUUAGAUACCCCAGUAGUCCCUGUCUCUUAUAC
rnacentral:rRNA from 1 species